UACGUAGGUGGCGAGCGUUAUCCGGAAUGAUUGGGCGUAAAGGGUGCGCAGGCGGUCUGUUAAGUCAGCGGUCAAAGCCCGGGGCUCAACCCCGGCCCGCCGUUGAAACUGGCAGUCUCGAGUUGGAGAGAAGUAUGCGGAAUGCGCGGUGUAGCGGUGAAAUGCAUAGAUAUCACGCAGAACGCCGAUUGCGAAGGCAGCAUACCGGCGCCCAACUGACGCUGAGGCACGAAAGCGUGGGGAUCGAACAGG
rnacentral:rRNA from 1 species